GUGAAUCAUCAAAUUUUUGAACGCAAAUUGCACUCUCCGGUUUUCCGGGGAAGUAGGCCUGUUUGAGGUUCGGUUUAAAAAAUAAUCGAGUCGUCUGCGGUGGUGGCGCUGCGGAAUUGGGUCAGCGUUCACCUUUCGUGGGUGUAGGCGACCUAAAAUUUUUCUUACGAUUUCUGCAAGCAUUUCUAAGAAUUUUUCUUGUACUGUCGCGACAUC
rnacentral:misc_RNA from 1 species